CGGGGGGAGCAAGCGUUGUUCGGAUUUACUGGGCGUAAAGGGCGCGUAGGCGGCCAGCGCAAGUCAGUUGUGAAAUCUCCGGGCUUAACUCGGAAAGGUCAACUGAUACUGCGCGGCUAGAGUGCAGAAGGGGCAACUGAAUUCUCGGUGUAGCGGUGAAAUGCGUAGAUAUCGAGAGGAACACCUGCGGCGAAGGCGGGUUGCUGGGCUGACACUGACGCUGAUGCGCGAAAGCCAGGGGAGCGAACGGGAUUAGAUACCCCGGUAGUCCUGGCCUUAAACGAUGGAUGCUUGGUGUCUGGAGUUUUAUAGUCUCCGGGUGCCGUAGCUAACGCGUUAAGCAUCCCGCCUGGGGAGUACGGUCGCAAGACUG
rnacentral:rRNA from 1 species